GAGAAAGUCUCCAGGAGACAGAAUUAGAUGAGCGAGAGAGUCUUCAAGCCAAAAAGGAGAGUUUCCAGGAGAGAGUCCAAGCUGCAAGGAAGAAUCUUCAGGCCCAGGAAGAGAGCCUCCUAGUUGAGAAACAGAAUCUUCAAAUCCAAAGAGAGAAUCUUCAGUCUGAGCGAGACACCCUCCAGUCUGAAAGAGACAACCUCCAAUCUGAAAUAAAUACCCUCAUAAUCGAACGAGACAGACUCUGAGCUGAGCUGGAGAGUAAGAGCAUCAGGACUGACCAACCUGAUCAACUACAAGAGGCACCAGAAUCAAUGUCAGUUGCCCCUGUAAGAGGAUGGAAAACAAAAUGAAUCUCGACUCAGUUGGAACAGAAGGAAGAGGAGGAAAGAGGUCCAGAGGAGCAGCUCCAAGUUCUAGGGGAACUACCCCUGAGUCCACGGGAGGGGCCCUCACUAAGAUCACAGUCACCUAUGCCCAGGAGAGUAACAAGAAGUCCUGAAAGAGCAGGAGGUGAACGAGACAUCAUUACCAUUACUGAUAGAUCUUUGAAAAUGAACAAAAUUCGUGGUCUGAGAAAAAACGUCACACGCCACCCAAAGGAGCCUAUUGUCACCUAGUUACUUUGAUGUUGGGACAGUGGGGCCAACAGUGUGUUGCUAGAUAGUAGAGAGGCUUGUCUGCUCGGUGGCAUUGCUAGGGACUCAGCCAUUGACAGAGGUAUUAGCACAUGCCAGAACCAGGCCUUCACCUUCUGGAAGCGAAUGCUGUUGGCUGUGAAAGAAAGAUACUCCUUCAAAGAUGACCUGAUGCCUGAGAAAAGGAAAUGGACUGAUAUGGAAAAAAGGCAUCCAUUAUUUGAGAGAACACGCCGUGGUGGAAAUGUUACAUAGCCCCACUUUCAUUCCUGACAAGCCUGACCAAGAGCAUGAUCCUGAGAACGUCAGGUGUACACCACAUAUGUGGCGUAUAUUCACGAAGACUGCACCAGAGAGGUAUGCCAGUACAUUUGCAGCAAUGUAUGACAGAGGGGGAGAAAGACCUUUUAUAAAUGAACUGAUUAAUAAACUCCAAAACUUCGAGUUACAUUUAAUCCCUCUACACCAACCUGCAUCAUCCAACGUCUCAGCUAUUAGACUGCCGAUCAACAGGAGACGUCCUCCUGUUCAAGCAAGUGACAACAGUAAGACUAGGUCACAUUUUGCCUUGUGGCAUAACCUGCGUGACCAUGGAGAAGAUAUGAAGAAGAGGCAUAAGAAACCCACUUCUGCACUUCAAGCAUGGGUAAAAGAGUUAGAAGAUAGAUCAACAACCAAGGUGAAUUUCUCCAAAAAGGUGGUCGCUCCAGUUGAUGCGAGACACGGCAAUAGUCAGGAGGACAACGGAGGUAACAAAUAGAGGAGCCCUGCCUCCAGCCGGGCGGGGGAAAGGGAUAAUAGAGUGUAUUGGACUGUGUGGAUUAGAUGGCCUGGCACAUCAGAACCACAUAAAUAUAAGGCAUUGGUGGACACUGGUGCACAGUGUACGCUAAUGCCCUCGAGUCACCAAGGGACAAAAAAUAUUCAUGGGGUGACUGGGGGUUCCCAAGAGUUGACUAUGUUGGAGGCUGAGAUAAGUCUCACUGGCAAAGACUGGCAAAAGCGUCCUAUUGUGACUGGUCCAGGGGCUCCCUGUAUACUUGGUAUUGAUUACCUCAGAAGGGGAUAUUUUAAGGAUCCCAAAGGGUAUCGAUGGGCCUUUGGAAUAGCUGCUGUAGACACAGAAGGUGUUGAACAGUUGUCUGCGUUGUCUGGCCUAUCAGAAGAUCUGUCUGUUGUGGGAUUGCUACGAGUAAAAGAGCAACAGGUUAUAAGUUCACAGGAUGGCUGGCAGGAGCAACAUCACUCCAACAUGUCCAUGAGGAAACAUUGUGACACCUUGUGAUGCACUGCUGAACUUUUGGGAACUGGCGAGCAUGAAUCAGAAGCACUACUGGUCCUUGAAGAGGAUAUGCCUUGAGAAAGAGCAUCAAGUCCUGGGAAAAGACGGCCAAUGAUUGCCUUUGUUGUCUUGACAUUCUAUAUUGCAGUGGUUGUUGUGCAUGCAUUGCGAUAUGCAUUGUGUCUUGGGCCACCAGGUUGUGGGGGCUCACCCCCUACCUGCUCAGUCAU
ensembl:lncRNA